GUCGAACGCUGGCGGCGUGCUUAACACAUGCAAGUCGAACGAAGUGGCGAACGGGUGAGUAACGUGUAAUCAACCUGCCCUUCAGGGGGGGACAAUAGUUGGAAAUGACUGCUAAUACCGCAUACGGAAGGACGGGAUUGGGGCUGAUUAGCUAGUUGGAGGGGUAACGGCCCACCAAGGCGAUGAUCAGUAGCCGGUCGGAGAGGAUGAACCGCAACAUUGUGACUGAGAAACGGCCCAGACUCCUACGGGAGGCAGCAGUGGGGAAUCUUCCGCAAUGGACGAAAGUCUGACGGAGCAACGCCGCGUGAGUGAUGACGGCCUUCGGGUUGUAAAGCUCUGUUAAUCGGGACGCGGUACCGGAAUAGAAAGCCACGGCUAACUACGUGCCAGCAGCCGCGGUAAUUC
rnacentral:rRNA from 1 species